UGUUGUGAAUGAUGAUGAACAACAAAUUAACAGUUAUCCCUGGCUGAUGUUACAGGUGAUGAGAAUUUGUAAUAUCUGACACACUG